GACGUAGGGCGCGAGCGUUGUCCGGAUUUAUUGGGCGUAAAGAGCUCGUAGGCGGCUUGUCGCGUCGAAUGUGAAAUUUUAGGGCUCAACCCUGACAUUGCAUUCGAUACGGGCAGGCUUGAGUUCGGUAGGGGAGACUGGAAUUCCUGGUGUAGCGGUGAAAUGCGCAGAUAUCAGGAGGAACACCGAUGGCGAAGGCAGGUCUCUGGGCUGACACUGACGCUCAUGCACGAAAGCGUGGGGAGCAAACAGG
rnacentral:rRNA from 1 species